rnacentral:rRNA from 1 species
GACGAACGCUGGCGGUAUGCCUAAUACAUGCAAGUCGAACGCUGAAGCACUCUGCUUGCAGAGUGUAGAUGAGUGGCGAACGGGUGAGUAACACGUGGGGAACCUGCCCAUAAGAGGGGGAUAACAUCCGGAAACGGGUGCUAAUACCGCAUAGGUGAUCAUAGCGCAUGCUUAGAUCAUUAAAGAUGGCUUCGGCUAUCGCUUAUGGAUGGCCCCGCGGCGUAUUAGCUAGUUGGUGAGGUAAUGGCUCACCAAGGCUGUGAUACGUAGCCGACCUGAGAGGGUGAUCGGCCACACUGGAACUGAGACACGGUCCAGACUCCUACGGGAGGCAGCAGUAGGGAAUCUUCCACAAUGGGCGAAAGCCUGAUGGAGCAAUACCGCGUGAGUGAAGAAGGUCUUCGGAUCGUAAAGCUCUGUUGUUAGAGAAGAACAAGAGGUGUAGUAACUGGCACCUCCUUGACGGUAUCUAACCAGAAAGUCACGGCUAACUACGUGCCAGCAGCCGCGGUAAUACGUAGGUGACAAGCGUUGUCCGGAUUUAUUGGGCGUAAAGCGAGCGCAGGCGGUCUUUUAAGUCUGAUGUGAAAGCCCACGGCUCAACCGUGGAGGGUCAUUGGAAACUGGAAGACUUGAAUGCAGAAGAGGAAAGUGGAAUUCCAUGUGUAGCGGUGAAAUGCGUAGAUAUAUGGAGGAACACCAGUGGCGAAGGCGACUUUCUGGUCUGUAAUUGACGCUGAGGCUCGAAAGCGUGGGGAGCGAACAGGAUUAGAUACCCUGGUAGUCCACGCCGUAAACGAUGAGUGCUAAGUGUUGGAGGGUUUCCGCCCUUCAGUGCUGGAGCUAACGCAUUAAGCACUCCGCCUGGGGAG